GCACUGGCAAAAUCCAGUGCCGGGAUUGGUCUCCCGGAUUAACUAAAAGGCGCAUAUGCCGCGCGAGCGGUUUUUUU
rnacentral:sRNA from 2 species